ensembl:miRNA MIR2116 microRNA 2116
GACCUAGGCUAGGGGUUCUUAGCAUAGGAGGUCUUCCCAUGCUAAGAAGUCCUCCCAUGCCAAGAACUCCCAGACUAGGA